AGAGUUUGAUCCUGGCUCAGGACGAACGCUGGCGGCGUGCUUAACACAUACAAGUCGAGCGGUGAACCCUUCGGGGGGAUCAGCGGCGAACGGGUGAGUAACACGUGAGCAACCUGCCCCUGACUCUGGGAUAGCCUCGGGAAACCGGGAUUAAUACCGGAUAUGACACCUCCUCGCAUGGGGUGGUGUGGAAAGUUUUUCGGUCAGGGAUGGGCUCGCGGCCUAUCAGCUUGUUGGUGGGGUGAUGGCCUACCAAGGCGACGACGGGUAGCCGGCCUGAGAGGGUGACCGGCCACACUGGGACUGAGACACGGCCCAGACUCCUACGGGAGGCAGCAGUGGGGAAUAUUGCGCAAUGGGCGAAAGCCCGACGCAGCGACGCCGCGUGAGGGAUGAAGGCCUUCGGGUUGUAAACCUCUUUCAGCAGGGAAGAAGCGCAAGUGACGGUACCUGCAGAAGAAGCACCGGCUAACUACGUGCCAGCAGCCGCGGUAAUACGUAGGGUGCAAGCGUUGUCCGGAAUUAUUGGGCGUAAAGAGCUCGUAGGCGGUUUUUUAAGUCAGAUGUGUAAUCCCCGAGCUCAACUUGGGAACUGCAUCUGAGACUGGAAGGCUAGAGUACUGGAGAGGGUGGUAGAAUUCCACGUGUAGCGGUGAAAUGCGUAGAGAUGUGGAGGAAUACCAGUGGCGAAGGCGGCCACCUGGACAGUAACUGACGCUGAGGCGCGAAAGUGUGGGUAGCAAACAGGAUUAGAUACCCUGGUAGUCC
rnacentral:rRNA from 1 species